rnacentral:rRNA from 1 species
GGCGAACGGGUGCGUAACACGUGAGCAACUGCCUUUGAGCGGGGGAUAGCCGGCCCAACGGCCGGGUAAUACCGCAUACGUUCUCCUGGUGGCAUCACCGGGGGAAGAAACGCUUGACGGCUCAAAGAGGGGCUCGCGGCCUAUCAGCUAGUUGGUGCGGUCACGGCGCACCAAGGCGACGACGGGUAGCUGGUCUGAGAGGAUGGCCAGCCACAUUGGGACUGAGAAACGGCCAAGACUCCUACGGGAGGCAGCAGUGGGGAAUCUUGCGCAAUGGCCGAGAGGCUGACGCAGCGACGCCGCGUGGGGGAUGAAGCAUUUCGGUGUGUAAACCCCUGUUGCUCGGGACGAACGAUCCUUUUCGAGGGAUGUGACGGUACCGAGUGAGGAAGCACCGGCUAACUCCGUGCCAGCAGCCGCGGUAAUACGGAGGGUGCGAGCGUUGUCCGGAAUCACUGGGCGUAAAGGGCGCGUAGGUGGUUGGAUGCGCCGGUGGUG